AUAUCCAAUCUAUGUGUAUAUAUAUAUAUAUAUAUAUUUAAAGAAUUAUAUAUGAAAUAUAUAAUUAUUUUAUUUAUUAAUUUUUUAAGUAAGUAUUUUUUUUUUUAAUUAUAUAUUAUUUUAUAUUAUUUUGAACCUUUUUAUUAUGUAAUAAUUAUUAAUUAUAAAGCAGAACGGAUCAUCCGCGAAUCAUUUAAAUAGUCCCGGAUAUUCAAACUAACGAAUACUUAAAAUCGUAUAAAGCGAAUGCAGAUCAAAAACUCAAGUAUUUGUACGAGACGGAGCAGAUCACAGAUACGUAAAACUCAAGUAUUUGUACGAGAUGAAGCGGAUCACAGAUACGUGAGAUUUUUCCGGAUAUCCGCUCCAUGCUCAUGCAGCCUUUGUGGAAACUAGAAACAACGUAAACCAAACAGAUCAUCUUCACUAUUCAACGAGGAUUAACCUCAGUAAUUGUUGCUUCAUCCACUGAACAAGUAAAAGACUUGCUGCUCGAUUGAUUCGGCUCCAAUCCCUGGGAUGAAGAAGUCGUUCCUGAUCUGUUCCCGAAAAAAAA